rnacentral:rRNA from 1 species
UCUCUUGGUUCUCGCAUCGAUGAAGAACGCAGCAAAGCGCGAUAGGUAAUGCGAAUUGCACACGUGAGUCAUUGAAUCUUUGAACGCACAUUGCGCUACUAGGUUCUCCUAGUAGCAUGCUUGUUGGAGCGCCGAUCUUUCUCUCCUACUACUUCUUGUAGUGGGCGGUUUUGCUCCAUUUUGGAGUGAAAAAGAUGGCAGUGCACACGUUAGAUAACUCUGUGCAGUAUCAACCAAAUUUUUUGGCCCCCAAUCAAGCAAGGCUACCCGCUGAACUUAAGCAUAUCAAUAAGCGGAGGAAAAGAAACCAACAGGGAUUGCCUUAGUAGCGGCGAGUGAACCGGCAAAAGCUCAGAUUUGAAAGCCUUUUUGGCAUUGUAUUCUGAAGCCUUGGUCCUGGGACCUGGUGCUUAAGUCUUCUGGAAAGGAGCGCCAUGGAGGGUGAUAGCCCCGUGAAGCACUAACCCCAUUGUAGGAUCUUGGCAUGGAGUCGAGUUGUUUGGGAAUGCAGCUCAAAUGGGUGGUAUGCUCCAUCUAAAGCUAAAUAUCUGCGAGAGACCGAUAGCGAACAAGUACUGUGAAGGAAAGAUGAAAAGAACUUUGAAAAGAGAGUGAAAUAGUACGUGAAAUUGUUGAAAUGGAAGGAUAGGCCGCUAACCACGCAGAGUCGUGUUUAGGGGGAGGACAAAAGCUGUAUACUGCAUCAUUCUUCGGAGUGGUGUCGUUGCGGUGCAUACUCCCACCU